UACGUAGGGUGCGAGCGUUAAUCGGAAUUACUGGGCGUAAAGCGUGCGCAGGCGGUUAUUUAAGUCAGGUGUGAAAGCCCUGGGCUUAACCUAGGAAUUGCGCUUGAGACUGGAUAGCUUGGAGUGCGGCAGAGGGAGGUGGAAUUCCACGUGUAGCAGUGAAAUGCGUAGAUAUGCGGAGGAACACCGAUGGCGAAGGCAAUCCCCUGGGCCUGUACUGACGCUCAUGCACGAAAGCGUGGGGAGCAAACAGG
rnacentral:rRNA from 1 species